rnacentral:rRNA from 1 species
CCCUUAGAUGUUCUGGGCUGCACACGUGCUACACUGGCAGGUUCAGCGAGCUUCGUGCCCUGAUCUGAAAGGAAUGGGAAAUCUUUUCAAAACCUGCCGUGCUUGGGAUAGAUGUUUGCAAUUAUUCAUCUUCAACGAGGAAUGCCUAGUAAACGCAAGUCAUCAGCUUGCAUUGAUUACGUCCCUGCCCUUUGUACACACCGCCCGUCGCUCCUACCGAUUGAAUGAUCCGAUGAAUACCAUGGAUUGAGAGUACGAAUAGGUUCGCUUAUUUCUGCUUCUCGAGAAGUGGAGUAAAUCUUAUCAUUUAGAGGAAGGAGAAGUCGUAACA